rnacentral:tRNA from 2 species
GGUUAUUAUUCCUGGGGAAAUAUUUGUCUUGAAAACAAAUUAAAAGUGUUCGAUUCACUUAGUAACCU